rnacentral:rRNA from 1 species
UCUCACUGUAUCUUUAAAAGUUAGUCUAAAAAGGUUCAGCCUUUUAGAAAUGGGUACAACCUUCACUAGAGAGUAAGAUCUUACAACACCAUAGUAGGCCUAAAAGCAGCCAUCAAUUAAGAAAGCGUUAAAGCUCAACAAUAAAAAUAAUAUUAAUCCCAACAAUAAUACAGCUAACUCCUAGACCUAAUACUGGACUAUUCUAUUACUAAAUAGAAGCAAUAAUGUUAAUAUGAGUAACAAGAAAUAUUUUCUCCUUGCACAAGUUUAAGUCAGUAUCUGAUAAUAUUCUGACUGUUAACAGUAAAUAAAAACAACCCAACAAUAAAUAAUUUAUUAAUUGUACUGUUAACCCAACACAGGAGUGCACCCAGGAAAGAUUAAAAGAAGUAAAAGGAACUCGGCAAACACAAACCCCGCCUGUUUACCAAAAACAUCACCUCCAGCAUUUCCAGUAUUGGAGGCACUGCCUGCCCAGUGA